GACGAACGCUGGCGGCGUGCUUAACACAUGCAAGUCGAACGGAAAGGCCCUGCUUUUGUGGGGUGCUCGAGUGGCGAACGGGUGAGUAACACGUGAGUAACCUGCCCUUGACUUUGGGAUAACUUCAGGAAACUGGGGCUAAUACCGGAUAGGAGCUCCUGCUGCAUGGUGGGGGUUGGAAAGUUUCGGCGGUUGGGGAUGGACUCGCGGCUUAUCAGCUUGUUGGUGGGGUAGUGGCUUACCAAGGCUUUGACGGGUAGCCGGCCUGAGAGGGUGACCGGCCACAUUGGGACUGAGAUACGGCCCAGACUCCUACGGGAGGCAGCAGUGGGGAAUAUUGCACAAUGGGCGGAAGCCUGAUGCAGCAGCGCCGCGUGCGGGAUGACGGCCUUCGGGUUGUAAACCGCUUUCGACUGUGACGAAGCGUGAGUGACGGUAAUGGGUAAAGAAGCACCGGCUAACUACGUG
rnacentral:rRNA from 1 species